GCCCGUGCCUCUUCCUCCACACUUUCCCGCAAGCUGAGGGAGCCGGCUCCCGCCUUGGCCAGCCCGGAAAGGGGCUCCCACGGUGCAGCGGUGGGCUGAAGGGCUCCUCAAGCACGGCCAGAGUGGGCGCCAAGGCCGAGGAGGCCCCGAGAGCGAGCGAGGGCUGCCAGUAUGCUGUCACCUCUCAUUAUUAUUUGCCGAUGGGAGUGGAGAAGGAGACUUGGUGAUAACAGGACUGAAAACCUUGUGUAGCCUACAGUCCAUAUGCUUCAGUCUAUUGUGUCUUGAUCUAAGAAGAGAUGCAGAACAGAUGCUAAGAAGACUUAGACGCAAUGAGCCCCAGAAACAUUUCGGGUAUAUCUUCAUCAGCACUAUGAUAAUGGACUAAUACAGUAAAUUGGUACAAGUAGAGUGGGGCAUUGCCGAAAAGAUACCCAAAAAUGUAGAAGCAACUUUGGAACUGGGUAUCAGACAGAGGUUGGAACAGUUUGGAGGGCUCAGAAGAAGACAGGAAAAUGUGGGAAAGUUUGGAACCUCCUAGAGACUUGUUGAAUGGCUUUGACAAAAAUGCUGAUUGUGAUAUGAACAGUGGGUCCAGGCUGAGAUGGUCUCAGAUAGAGAUGAGGAACCUGCUGGGAACUGGAGCAAAGAUGACCCUUGUUAUGUUUUAGCAAAGAGACUGGUGGCAUUUUGCCCUUGCCCUAGAAAUUUGUGGAGCUUUGAACUUGAGAGAGAUCAUUUAGGGUAUCUGGCAGAAGAAAUUUCUAAGCAGCAAAGCAUUCAAAAGGUGACUUGGAUGCUGUUAAAAGCAUUUCAUUUUAAAAGGGAAACAGAGCAUAAAAUUUCAGAGAAUUUGUAGCCUGAUGAUGCAGUAGAAAAGAAAACCCAUUUUUUAAGAAGAAAUUCAAGCUGGCUGCAAAAAUUUGCAUAAGUAACAAGGAGCCAAAGUUAAUCCCUGACAAUGGGGAAAAUGUCUGCAGGGAAUGCCAGAGGUCUUCAUGGUAGCCCCUCCCAUCACAAAUCCAGAAGCAUAGGAGGAAAAAAUGGUUUUGUGGGCCAACCCCAGGGUCCUCAUGCUGUGUGCAGCCUAGGGACUUAGUGCCCUGUGACCCAGCCACUCCAGCCAUUGCUAAAAGGGGCCAAGGUACAGCUCGGCCCACGGUUUCAGAGGGUGCAAGCCCCAACCCUUGGCAGCUUCCACGUAUUGUUGAGCCUGCGGGUACACAGAAAUCAAGAAUUGAGGUUUGGGAACCUUCAUCUAGAUUUCAGAAGAUGUUUGGAAAUGCCUGGAUGCCCAGGCAAAAGUUUGCUGCAGGAUCGGGGCCCUCAUGGAGAACCUCUGCUAGGGCAGUACAGAAGGGAACUCUGGGUUUGGAGCCCCCAUACAGAGUCCCUACUAGGGCACCACCUAGGGGAGCGCUGACAAGAAGGCCACUGUCCUCCAGACCCCAGAAUGGUGGAUCCACUGACAGCUUGCACCAUGCGCCUGGAAAAGCCACAGAGACUCAAUGCCAGCCUGUGAAAACAGCCAGGAGGGGGGCUAUGCUCUGCAAAUCCACAGGGGCGAAGCUGCCCAAGACUAUGGGAACCUAUCUCUUGCAUCAGGGUGACCUGGAUGUGAGACAUGGCAUCAAAAGAGAUCACUUUGGAGCUUUAGAAUUUUACUGCCCUGCUGGAUUUUGAACUUGCGUGGACCCUGUAUCCCCUUUGUAUUGGUCAAAUUCUCCCAUUUGGAAUGGCUGUAUUUACCCAAUACCUGUACCUCCGUUGCAUCUAGGAAGUAAGUAGCUUUCUUUUGAUAUUACAGGCUCAUAGGCAGAAGGGACUUGCCUUGUCUCAGAUGAGACUUUGGACUGUGGACUUUUGGGUUAAUGCUGAAAUGAGUUUAAGACUUUGGGAGACUGUUGGGAAGGCAUGACUGGUUUUGAAAUGUGAAGACAUGAGAUUUAGAGGGGUCAGGGUGGAAUUAUAUGGUGUGGCUCUGUGUCCCCACCCAAAUUUCAUCUUGAAUCAUACUCUCAUCAUUCCCACAUGUUGUGGGAGGGAUCCAGUGGGAGAUAAUUUGAAUCAUGGGGGCGGUUUCCCCCGUACUGUUCUCAUGGUAGUGAAUAAGUCUCAUGAGAUCUGAUGAUUUUAUCAGUAGUUUCCACUUUUGCAUCUCUCCCAUUUUUUCUCUUGUCAUCGCCAUGCAAGAAGUGCCUUUCACCUCCCGCAAUGAUUCUGAGGCCUCCUCAACCGUGUGGAACU
rnacentral:lncRNA from 1 species